rnacentral:rRNA from 1 species
CCCUUAGAUGUCCUGGGCCGCACGCGCGUUACACUGAUGCAUUCAACGAGCUUAUAACCUUGGCCGAGAGGCCUGGGCAAUCUUGUUAACGUGCAUCGUGAUAGGGAUAGAUUAUUGAAAUUAUUAAUCUUGAACGAGGAAUGCCUAGUAAACGCAGAUCAUCAAUCUGCAUUGAUUACGUCCCUGCCCUUUGUACACACCGCCCGUCGCACCUACCGAUUGGAUGGUCCGGUGAAGCCUCGGGAUUGUGGUUCUUGCCGCUUUAUUGUGGCGUGACCGCGAGAACUUGUCUAAACCUUAUCAUCUAGAGGAAGGUGAAGUCGUAACA